CCUUCAGCUGUGUAUUCCAGCCUGACCCCACUUGACAUGCCUGAUUAUGAUGUAUUGAAAAAAUAUGAAAGAAAUUAUGUUUAACUUUAUAAAUGUUAGGACAUAUGAGAAGAAAUUAAAUAACCAGUAAUGAAGGUGGCGUAUGGCAGAAUCUCAUUUUCACAGAUAGCCGGUAGGAUGGGUACCUGAUCCCAAAUAAAAUGGUACUUCACAGCCUCAUCUCAAAAUGGAGAGUCUCGUUAUAAUCUAAAAUUAAUCUGUGCUAAGAGGCAAAUAAAUUUUCAUUAUCACAUUUCUCCUCCUGAAGCCCCUAACAUUCACAUUAUUAUGAACAUUUUCAAAACACACUGUUUUUUUUGUUAUGCAUCUCGUGGUAAUAUUUUUAGAUGCAAAUGGUACAGCAACAAUCCUAUACAGAUUUUGAAGAAUCCGAAAGAGACUAUAUCCCUGUUUCUUUCUUACAGUGAACCCAAUCUAUCCUAGGACAAAAUAGUAUGAUAUUAGUUGGCUCUAUGUGAAUAUUAAUGCCUUACAAAUAGUUUACAUACUUGGAAGUUAAGUGACUCAAGUUAGUGAGUUCCAUGGUAACCAAGGUCAUACCAGAUGCUUUCCCAAACCUUUCCUAACUAAAUACAAUCAAGAUUUUGCAGGGUAAUCAGAGCUUCAUGUUCAGAUGUGGCCUGGGACACCAGGGGAUUCUGAGUACUAUCUACCUGAGCCAGGAGGAGAUGCUUCAGAAAUAUCCCAUGAGCCCCAAGGAGUCCACAGUCCUGAUUUUUAGGAAAAGAGAUAAUUAUUUAUUGUCAUCUGUUAAAUGUUUUAGUAUCAGAUUAUCUGGAAACUAAUGGUGAACAUUUAAACUGCAAUAAUCCUGUUUUUACUUCAGUUCUGUUGUGUCCUUAUAAGCACCCAAUACUAACUAAGCACUCAAGCACUAACAAACAAGGUCACUGCUAUCAGUGACUGCCCAUUUAUGGGAAGCUUGUCUAACCCAUGAUGUUGCUAAAGCAUCCUGUUUUUAAUGAUGAAGCACCGGGUUGUAUACAUAGCCAUUACUUUCAGUAAAUUUCACUUGCUGAAACAAGCAGACUUCACAGUGUUAUUGACUGGCAAAGUCUAGGAAGAGUCACCUAUUUGUCUGGUGUUCAUUUGUGUAUCUUAAAAAAUAAAAAACAAUAAAUGUAAGUUAAGUAAAAUCCUUUGUUUCAAGGAGUGAGAUGCCAUUUCCUUGGUACUUGCAAUAGCCUAGAGUGUAAUCUAAAAACCAUUACACUUAUUAAACAUCAUUCUAUUGACUUCAGUGGUCUUUGAAUAAAGCUAUUAGCCUAUUUUGUAGGACAUGUAGCCAUAUUUUGUAGCCUUAUUCUUGAGGUGCACGAGAGGUUAGGGACAAGACUGGAGAGGAGAGGCAGGACUAGAAUUUUUAUUUCAAAUCUCUUAUUAGCUAUUUGUUCUUCAUACAUCAGAAAGUAUAUAAAAAAUUAAAUAUAAAGAAAGUAUAAAAUAUAAGAGUAUGUACCAUUCUAUUUUGGGGGAAGGUGGCAGAGACAUCACCUUAUAGAUCUACCUUGAAAUCUGUAUACAUAAAAAUCACUCUUUUUCAGGAACUGGAGCUUUGCCCCCUAUGUCUAGGUAAUGGACACUGGCUCUGAGAAGCAUCCAACCCAACAGUUAGUUUCACAGUGAUAAAUCAGUUAAUUAAAUUUCAGAAAGCAAGACAAUUCAGAACUGACCUUAGCACCUUCUUGUUAGGUGGCUAUAAACAGUCAUCAGAAGUGUUAGGUAAGAAGUGGCAAGUUUUACACAUGGUUUCAUUGGGGGUGCAAACAUUAAGUGUGAUGUAGUGAGUUAAAGAGGAAAUGCAAACACAUAAUUUUAGACUUAACUCUGAAAGUUCUUGCUGUUGUGUUGCAUGGCAGACCUUACACAUUACUUUGAUGUACUGUUGUUAUUUGAAGUGUAAUUUGUAUAAUAAUUAACUCCAAGUGAUCCACUGCAGUGCUUCAGCAAAGUAUUGGGGCCCAUUAAAUUGGACCAUGAAUACACAGUUGCUUUCCUUAUUUCUAACAUAAUUAUACUGUUGGAGAAAAAAAA